CGAAAAAUCGGCCGAUUUUUAACCAUGUGAGAAACGUCCCGAAAAUUCACAGAUAACUACUAGGAGGCCUCACUCUGAGUAAUAUCAAAGUUUUUUCCCACAAGAACCGCUCGGAGAUGCCCGGACUCAGUUUUUAUUUUCGUCCCAAUACUUUUCUUCCCAUGGACUAGUUGUGUUUCUUUGAUCUUGUGCAACCUAUUUAGGCCGAUGAUAGCCCGCGGAUAGGUGUGGAAACCCAUCUAUAUUGCACCCAGUACGACACAGAAAAAAAGGGUGGGGCUCGUUCGGGGUGCACAACGGUUGCGCCAAAAACGGUCCAAAAAUGGCCAAGGCUUUACCAUACGAAAAAUCGGCCGAUUUUUAACCAUGUGAGAAACGUCCCGAAAAUUCACAGAUAACUACUAGGAGGCCUCACUCUGAGUAAUAUCAAAGUUUUUUCCCACAAGAACCGCUCGGAGAUGCCCAGACUCAGUUUUUAUUUUCGUCCCAAUACUUUUCUUCCAUGGACUAGUUGUGUUUCUUUGAUCUUGUGCAACCUCUUUAGGCCGAUGAUAGCCCGCGGAUAGGUGUGGAAACCCAUCUAUAUUGCACCCAGUAGACACAGAAAAAAAGCCCAGGGCCUAGGGGUCGGGUGGGGCUCGUUCGGGGUGCACAACGGUUGCGCCAAAAACGGUCCAAAAAUGGCCAAGGCUUUACCAUACGAAAAAUCGGCCGAUUUUUAACCAUGUGAGAAACGUCCCGAAAAUUCACAGAUAACUACUAGGAGGCCUCACUCUGAGUAAUAUCAAAGUUUUUUCCCACAAGAACCGCUCGGAGAUGCCCGACUCAGUUUUUAUUUUCGUCCCAAUACUUUUCUUCCAUGGACUAGUUGUGUUUCUUUGAUCUUGUGCAACCUAUUUAGGCCGAUGAUAGCCCGCGGAUAGGUGUGGAAACCCAUCUAUAUUGCACCCAGUAGACACAGAAAAAAAGUAGGGGUCGGGUGGGGCUCGUUCGGGGUGCACAACGGUUGCGCCAAAAACGGUCCAAAAAUGGCCAAGGCUUUACCAUACGAAAAAUCGGCCGAUUUUUAACCAUGUGAGAAACGUCCCGAAAAUUCACAGAUAACUACUAGGAGGCCUCACUCUGAGUAAUAUCAAAGUUUUUUCCCACAAGAACCGCUCGGAGAUGCCCGACUCAGUUUUUAUUUUCGUCCCAAUACUUUUCUUCCAUGGACUAGUUGUGUUUCUUUGAUCUUGUGCAACCUAUUUAGGCCGAUGAUAGCCCGCGGAUAGGUGUGGAAACCCAUCUAUAUUGCACCCAGUAGACACAGAAAAAAAGGGCCUAGGGGUCGGGUGGGGCUCGUUCGGGGUGCACAACGGUUGCGCCAAAAACGGUCCAAAAAUGGCCAAGGCUUUACCAUACGAAAAAUCGGCCGAUUUUUAACCAUGUGAGAAACGUCCCGAAAAUUCACAGAUAACUACUAGGAGGCCUCACUCUGAGUAAUAUCAAAGUUUUUUCCCACAAAACCGCUCGGAGAUGCCCAGACUCAGUUUUUAUUUUCGUCCCAAUGCUUUUCUUCCCAUGGACUAGUUUUGUUUCUUUGAUCUUGUGCAACCUAUUUAGGCCGAUGAUAGCCCGCGGAUAGGUGUGGAAACCCAUCUAUAUUGCACCCAGUAGGACACAGAAAAAAAGCCCAGGGCCUAGGGGUCGGGUGGGGCUCGUUCGGGGUGCACAACGGUUGCGCCAAAAACGGUCCAAAAAUGGCCAAGGCUUUACCAUACGAAAAAUCGGCCGAUUUUUAACCAUGUGAGAAACGUCCCGAAAAUUCACAGAUAACUACUAGGAGGCCUCACUCUGAGUAAUAUCAAAGUUUUUUCCCACAAGAACCGCUCGGAGAUGCCCAGACUCAGUUUUUAUUUUCGUCCCAAUACUUUUCUUCCAUGGACUAGUUGUGUUUCUUUGAUCUUGUGCAACCUAUUUAGGCCGAUGAUAGCCCGCGGAUAGGUGUGGAAACCCAUCUAUAUUGCACCCAGUACGACACAGAAAAAAAGCCCAGGGCCUAGGGGUCGGGUGGGGCUCGUUCGGGGUGCACAACGGUUGCGCCAAAAACGGUCCAAAAAUGGCCAAGGCUUUACCAUACGAAAAAUCGGCCGAUUUUUAACCAUGUGAGAAACGUCCCGAAAAUUCACAGAUAACUACUAGGAGGCCUCACUCUGAGUAAUAUUAAAGUUUUCUCCCACAAGAACCGCUCGGAGAUGCCCAGACUCAGUUUUUAUUUUCGUCCCAAUGCUUUUCUUCCCAUGGACUAGUUGUGUUUCUUUGAUCUUGUGCAACCUAUUUAGGCCGAUGAUAGCCCGCGGAUAGGUGUGGAAACCCAUCUAUAUUGCACCCAGUACGACACAGAAAAAAAGCCCAGGGCCUAGGGGUCGGGUGGGGCUCGUUCGGGGUGCACAACGGUUGCGCCAAAAACGGUCCAAAAAUGGCCAAGGCUUUACCAUACGAAAAAUCGGCCGAUUUUUAACCAUGUGAGAAACGUCCCGAAAAUUCACAGAUAACUACUAGGAGGCCUCACUCUGAGUAAUAUCAAAGUUUUUUCCCACAAGAACCGCUCGGAGAUGCCCGGACUCAGUUUUUAUUUUCGUCCCAAUACUUUUCUUCCAUGGACUAGUUGUGUUUCUUUGAUCUUGUGCAACCUAUUUAGGCCGAUGAUAGCCCGCGGAUAGGUGUGGAAACCCAUCUAUAUUGCACCCAGUAGACACAGAAAAAAAGCCCAGGGCCUAGGGGUCGGGUGGGGCUCGUUCGGGGUGCACAACGGUUGCGCCAAAAACGGUCCAAAAAUGGCCAAGGCUUUACCAUAAAAAAUCGGCCGAUUUUUAACCAUGUGAGAAACGUCCCGAAAAUUCACAGAUAACUACUAGGAGGCCUCACUCUGAGUAAUAUUAAAGUUUUCUCCCACAAAACCGCUCGGAGAUGCCCGACUCAGUUUUUAUUUUCGUCCCAAUACUUUUCUUCCAUGGACUAGUUGUGUUUCUUUGAUCUUGUGCAACCUAUUUAGGCCGAUGAUAGCCCGCGGAUAGGUGUGGAAACCCAUCUAUAUUGCACCCAGUAACACAGAAAAAAAGCCCAGGGCCUAGGGGUCGGGUGGGGCUCGUUCGGGGUGCACAACGGUUGCGCCAAAAACGGUCCAAAAAUGGCCAAGGCUUUACCAUACGAAAAAUCGGCCGAUUUUUAACCAUGUGAGAAACGUCCCGAAAAUUCACAGAUAACUACUAGGAGGCCUCACUCUGAGUAAUAUCAAAGUUUUUUCCCACAAGAACCGCUCGGAGAUGCCCAGACUCAGUUUUUAUUUUCGUCCCAAUACUUUUCUUCCAUGGACUAGUUGUGUUUCUUUGAUCUUGUGCAACCUCUUUAGGCCGAUGAUAGCCCGCGGAUAGGUGUGGAAACCCAUCUAUAUUGCACCCAGUACGACACAGAAAAAAAGCCCAGGGCCUAGGGGUCGGGUGGGGCUCGUUCGGGGUGCACAACGGUUGCGCCAAAAACGGUCCAAAAAUGGCCAAGGCUUUACCAUACGAAAAAUCGGCCGAUUUUUAACCAUGUGAGAAACGUCCCGAAAAUUCACAGAUAACUACUAGGAGGCCUCACUCUGAGUAAUAUCAAAGUUUUUUCCCACAAGAACCGCUCGGAGAUGCCCAGACUCAGUUUUUAUUUUCGUCCCAAUACUUUUCUUCCAAUGGACUAGUUGUGUUUCUUUGAUCUUGUGCAACCUCUUUAGGCCGAUGAUAGCCCGCGGAUAGGUGUGGAAACCCAUCUAUAUUGCACCCAGUACGACACAGAAAAAAAGCCCAGGGCCUAGGGGUCGGGUGGGGCUCGUUCGGGGUGCACAACGGUUGCGCCAAAAACGGUCCAAAAAUGGCCAAGGCUUUACCAUACGAAAAAUCGGCCGAUUUUUAACCAUGUGAGAAACGUCCCGAAAAUUCACAGAUAACUACUAGGAGGCCUCACUCUGAGUAAUAUCAAAGUUUUUUCCCACAAGAACCGCUCGGAGAUGCCCGACUCAGUUUUUAUUUUCGUCCCAAUACUUUUCUUCCAAUGGACUAGUUGUGUUUCUUUGAUCUUGUGCAACCUAUUUAGGCCGAUGAUAGCCCGCGGAUAGGUGUGGAAACCCAUCUAUAUUGCACCCAGUAGACACAGAAAAAAAGCCCAGGGCCUAGGGGUCGGGUGGGGCUCGUUCGGGGUGCACAACGGUUGCGCCAAAAACGGUCCAAAAAUGGCCAAGGCUUUACCACACGAAAAAUCGGCCGAUUUUUAACCAUGUGAGAAACGUCCCGAAAAUUCACAGAUAACUACUAGGAGGCCUCACUCUGAGUAAUAUCAAAGUUUUUUCCCACAAAACGCUCGGAGAUGCCCAGACUCAGUUUUUAUUUUCGUCCCAAUACUUUUCUUCCAUGGUAGUUGUGUUUCUUUGAUCUUGUGCAACCUAUUUAGGCCGAUGAUAGCCCGCGGAUAGGUGUGGAAACCCAUCUAUAUUGCACCCAGUAGACACAGAAAAAAAGCCCAGGGCCUAGGGGUCGGGUGGGGCUCGUUCGGGGUGCACAACGGUUGCGCCAAAAACGGUCCAAAAAUGGCCAAGGCUUUACCAUACGAAAAAUCGGCCGAUUUUUAACCAUGUGAGAAACGUCCCGAAAAUUCACAGAUAACUACUAGGCGGCCUCACUCUGAGUAAUAUCAAAGUUUUCUCCCACAAAACGCUCGGAGAUGCCCAGACUCAGUUUUUAUUUUCGUCCCAAUACUUUUCUUCCAUGGUAGUUGUGUUUCUUUGAUCUUGUGCAACCUAUUUAGGCCGAUGAUAGCCCGCGGAUAGGUGUGGAAACCCAUCUAUAUUGCACCCAGUAGACACAGAAAAAAAGCCCAGGGCCUAGGGGUCGGGUGGGGCUCGUUCGGGGUGACGCAAAAACGGUCCAAAAAUGGCCAAGGCUUUACCAUACACGAAAAAUCGGCCGAUUUUUAACCAUGUGAGAAACGUCCCGAAAAUUCACAGAUAACUACUAGGGCCUCACUCUGAGUAAUAUCAAAGUUUUUUCCCACAAAACGCUCGGAGAUGCCCGACUCAGUUUUUAUUUUCGUCCCAAUACUUUUCUUCCAUGGUAGUUGUGUUUCUUUGAUCUUGUGCAACCUAUUUAGACCGAUGAUAGCCCGCGGAUAGGUGUGGAAACCCAUCUAUAUUGCACCCAGUAGACACAGAAAAAAAGCCCAGGGCCUAGGGGUCGGGUGGGGCUCGUUCGGGGUGCACAACGGUUGCGCCAAAAACGGUCCAAAAAUGGCCAAGGCUUUACCACACGAAAAAUCGGCCGAUUUUUAACCAUGUGAGAAACGUCCCGAAAAUUCACAGAUAACUACUAGGCGGCCUCACUCUGAGUAAUAUCAAAGUUUUUUCCCACAAAACGCUCGGAGAUGCCCAGACUCAGUUUUUAUUUUCGUCCCAAUACUUUUCUUCCCAUGGUAGUUGUGUUUCUUUGAUCUUGUGCAACCUAUUUAGACCGAUGAUAGCCCGCGGAUAGGUGUGGAAACCCAUCUAUAUUGCACCCAGUAGACACAGAAAAAAAGCCCAGGGCCUAGGGGUCGGGUGGGGCUCGUUCGGGGUGCACAACAAAAACGGUCCAAAAAUGGCCAAGGCUUUACCACACGAAAAAUCGGCCGAUUUUUAACCAUGUGAGAAACGUCCCGAAAAUUCACAGAUAACUACUAGGCGGCCUCACUCUGAGUAAUAUCAAAGUUUUUUCCCACAAAACGCUCGGAGAUGCCCAGACUCAGUUUUUAUUUUCGUCCCAAUACUUUUCUUCCAUGGUUUAGUUGUGUUUCUUUGAUCUUGUGCAACCUAUUUAGACCGAUGAUAGCCCGCGGAUAGGUGUGGAAACCCAUCUAUAUUGCACCCAGUAGACACAGAAAAAAAGCCCAGGGCCUAGGGGUCGGGUGGGGCUCGUUCGGGGUGCACAAAAACGGUCCAAAAAUGGCCAAGGCUUUACCAUACGAAAAAUCGGCCGAUUUUUAACCAUGUGAGAAACGUCCCGAAAAUUCACAGAUAACUACUAGGCGCCUCACUCUGAGUAAUAUCAAAGUUUUUUCCCACAAAACGCUCGGAGAUGCCCAGACUCAGUUUUUAUUUUCGUCCCAAUACUUUUCUUCCAUGGUAGUUGUGUUUCUUUGAUCUUGUGCAACCUAUUUAGACCGAUGAUAGCCCGCGGAUAGGUGUGGAAACCCAUCUAUAUUGCACCCAGUAGACACAGAAAAAAAGCCCAGGGCCUAGGGGUCGGGUGGGGCUCGUUCGGGGUGCACAACGGAAAAACGGUCCAAAAAUGGCCAAGGCUUUACCACACGAAAAAUCGGCCGAUUUUUAACCAUGUGAGAAACGUCCCGAAAGUUCACAGAUAACUACUAGGCGGCCUCACUCUGAGUAAUAUCAAAGUUUUUUCCCACAAAACGCUCGGAGAUGCCCAGACUCAGUUUUUAUUUUCGUCCCAAUACUUUUCUUCCCAUGGUAGUUGUGUUCUUUGAUCUUGUGCAACCUAUUUAGACCGAUGAUAGCCCGCGGAUAGGUGUGGAAACCCAUCUAUAUUGCACCCAGUAGACACAGAAAAAAAGCCCAGGGCCUAGGGGUCGGGUGGGGCUCGUUCGGGGUGCACAAAAACGGUCCAAAAAUGGCCAAGGCUUUACCACGAAAAAUCGGCCGAUUUUUAACCAUGUGAGAAACGUCCCGAAAGUUCACAGAUAACUACUAGGCGGCCUCACUCUGAGUAAUAUCAAAGUUUUUUCCCACAAAACGCUCGGAGAUGCCCAGACUCAGUUUUUAUUUUCGUCCCAAUACUUUUCUUCCAUGGUAGUUGUGUUUCUUUGAUCUUGUGCAACCUAUUUAGACCGAUGAUAGCCCGCGGAUGGUGUGGAAACCCAUCUAUAUUGCACCCAGUAGACACAGAAAAAAAGCCCAGGGCCUAGGGGUCGGGUGGGGCUCGUUCGGGGUGCAUUGCGCCAAAAACGGUCCAAAAAUGGCCAAGGCUUUACCACACGAAAAAUCGGCCGAUUUUUAACCAUGUGAGAAACGUCCCGAAAAUUCACAGAUAACUACUAGGCGGCCUCACUCUGAGUAAUAUCAAAGUUUUUUCCCACAAAACGCUCGGAGAUGCCCAGACUCAGUUUUUAUUUUCGUCCCAAUACUUUUCUUCCCAUGGUUUAGUUGUGUUUCUUUGAUCUUGUGCAACCUAUUUAGACCGAUGAUAGCCCGCGGAUAGGUGUGGAAACCCAUCUAUAUUGCACCCAGUAGACACAGAAAAAAGCCCAGGGCCUAGGGGUCGGGUGGGGCUCGUUCGGGGUGCACA
rnacentral:lncRNA from 1 species